rnacentral:rRNA from 1 species
AUUGAACGCUGGCGGCAUGCCUUACACAUGCAAGUCGAACGGCAGCACGGGAGCAAUCCUGGUGGCGAGUGGCGAACGGGUGAGUAAAGUAUCGGAACGUGCCCAGUCGUGGGGGAUAACGUAGCGAAAGUUACGCUAAUACCGCAUACGAUCUAUGGAUGAAAGCGGGGGAUCGCAAGACCUCGCGCGAUUGGAGCGGCCGAUAUCAGAUUAGGUAGUUGGUGGGGUAAAGGCUCACCAAGCCGACGAUCUGUAGCUGGUCUGAGAGGGCGACCAGCCACACUGGGACUGAGACACGGCCCAGACUCCGACGGGAGGCAGCAGUGGGGAAUCUUGGACAAUGGGCGAAAGCCUGAUCCAGCCAUGCCGCGUGCAGGAUGAAGGCCUUCGGGUUGUAAACUGCUUUUGUACGGAACGAAAAGGUUUGGCCUAAUAAGCUGAGCUCAUGACGGUACCGUAAGAAUAAGCACCGGCUAACUACGUGCCAGCCGCCGCGGUAA